GACGAACGCUGGCGGCGCGCUUAAUACAUGCAAGUCGAACGAGAAGCCAGAGCUUGCUCUGGUGGAAAGUGGCGAACGGGUGAGUAACACGUGAGAAACCUGCCCCAAAGAUUGGGAUAAGCCUUGGAAACGAGGUCUAAUACCAAAUACCUUCCUUUUAACACAUGUUAAAAAGAAGAAAUGCUCCGGCGCUUUGGGAUGGUCUCGCGAUCUAUCAGCUUGUUGGUGAGGUAACGGCUCACCAAGGCAUCGACGGAUAGCUGGUCUGAGAGGAUGUCCAGCCACAUUGGAACUGAGACACGGUCCAAACUCCUACGGGAGGCAGCAGUAGGGAAUCUUGCACAAUGAGGGGAAACCUUGAUGCAGCGACGCCGCGUGCGGGACGAAGGCCCUAGGGUUGUAAACCGCUUUCAGUAGGGACGAAAGUGACGGUACCUACAGAAGAAGCCCCGGCCAACUAUGUGCCAGCAGCCGCGGUAAU
rnacentral:rRNA from 1 species